ACCCUGCCAUUGCCAAGAUCGGGCACGAUACAAGAUCGCCGUGUCCAGCAGUAAUGUCUGAAACAGCCACACAAUGCAGGGGAAAUGUGGGCGGCAGCGAGGCUGGUGGGUGGUGGCAUGAGGAUGGUGGAGUCCCUGAGACUGAGAGGGAGGCUGCUCGUGGAGAGGGUGGCGUCCAAGGCGGUCAAGGAGGAUGCCGACUAGCUCGCCACCAGGCUUGCAACUAAAUGGGGAACUAUCUGAAUACGGUUGAGACAAAGCAUGCAUCCCAUGAUGAGCAAGGAAAUUGACACCAUACAGGUACAUAUGUAUGUUCAAACAAAGCUACUGUACUAUAUUUUUUUUUUUUGAUUUGCUGCUCCCAGGUUUAAAACAAAAUGCAUAUGGUUGUUUCUCUUGGCUAGAUUGGGAAAAGAGGCAGAGGUAAGGUUCAGUCUUACUAACCAUAUCACAACAGAUAUUGGUCACCACAUGGCCAUGAGAAAACCUAUCUAUCAUUCCAACAAAUUUAUGCAUGUAGCCUACGCUCCACUCUCUAUGCACACAUUCUAUAUAUGUACAUUACAGCACCAGCAUAUAUCAAAUCACAAGGCAAGGAAAUAACUUCUACAAUUGAUUACAGAAAUAUCUAGUUUAGUUGCAUGCAUGUCAACUGGGAAGAGACAAAAGCAACAAGAUAAUCAUCAUAUAUUGAAAAUAAAUAAAAACCAGCAUGCCUAAUCAAAGCUGAAUACGUAUACAAGCUAUUGCUGCUUUUUAAACUUAUUGUUGGAUCUAAAGAAAACUUAACUUAACCGUGCUAUUGAACUGUGUAAUGGUGUUAGAUAUUUUAAAUUAUAUUACACAUAACUAAAUUUAUUUGAUGACUUCGUAUCAAGUUUGCACAUCGACUUAGAUGAAAUAUAGGGUAAGUGCUUCCCCGUGAACGCAUUUUGGCUUGGUCAUUUGAAGCAAUAAGUGAAUGUAGGAACUAUUAGUUAGCAAAUUAUCAUUCCUUUUGAGUUUGUGUACAAGGAACAUGAUUGAGGAAGCAAGAAGGAAUGCAAGGCUGCAAAAUUUGAGCGGUUCAAGCAAGAAUGUAUCGAAAGGAGACAAAAAGGCUGAAUAUUGAGCAAUCUGAGAAACUAAAGAGAGAAUGUAAUAGAGCCUUGUUUAACCCGGUACUUCACUACACGGGUACACUCGAUCCAGUAUCCAUCUAUAGAGAUAAUUGAAGAGCAUAAGCAUGAUUACUCCAUUAACGACAUUGUUCACUUAGUGCUGCUGCAACGCUAUAAAAUUUCUUUCAUCUGAUAUAUGUGAAAAAAUAGUGCAUGGAAGAAAACUAACUGAGCUUGGCCUUAUUGUACACAAAUAAAUAUAAGCAAUAAACUGCAUGGGCGAUAGAUCAUUUUGCAGAGAAUUUCAGGCUCACUCUGUAGAUAUAGUAGCUUGUUGCCCAAUUGAGAAUCCCAACAGUCAGAUACAGUAGACAGAUAUAUCCACUAUGAUGGCUUGUUUCUCAAUCAAUAAAAUAGGAACCUUAGCAGUUCUCUGUAAACAAUAUAGAUAAGGUACCCACAAAAAAUGAAGCAUGUAAGUCAUGUAGAGUAAGAAACAUUGGCGUUGCUAAAAAAGCCUACAAAGGGGGAAGUGGCUACUUACAAGCUGGGUGUUCUUGUUAACUGAACAAUUACUCAAGGGGUCAUUUAUCUUGAUUGUUCAAGGCAUAGAGAAUAUCAAUUUGAAGUGAACCACCUACAUGUUAGCAUUGCAUAU